CCUGCACCAAGUAGUGCAAACAACGUUCGUACACCAGACACAAACAAUAAGAAAGACAAUAUGCCAGCAAACUAUAUUAGCUCUUACACUCUAAGGAAUGUUGUGACAAGACGUGUGCAGGCAAGGGGCAACAAAAGAAGCGAAUGUGUACAAUCCGCAAGUGCAAGCGAGAAGCAAGGUAGAUCAACUUAAGAAGCUCUAUCAAAGUGUGUUUAAGGUUCCUUGUCGUCGUGAUAUCGUCGUCAGCCUAGCUAACCAUCGCUUGCAUCAAUGGAGGGGAUGGAGGGGUACACGAUGACAAAA